rnacentral:rRNA from 1 species
AGCCAUGCCGCGUGAGUGAUGAAGGCCUUAGGGUCGUAAAGCUCUUUCGCCAGGGAUGAUAAUGACAGUACCUGGUAAAGAAACCCCGGCUAACUCCGUGCCAGCAGCCGCGGUAAUACGGAGGGGGUUAGCGUUGUUCGGAAUUACUGGGCGUAAAGCGCGCGUAGGCGGACCAGAAAGUUGGGGGUGAAAUCCCGGGGCUCAACCCCGGAACUGCCUCCAAAACUCCUGGUCUUGAGUUCGAGAGAAGUGAGUGGAAUUCCGAGUGUAGAGG